GUCAGACAGAAUAAUGUGACCCAGCACCCAAAACAGCAAGAUGCAUCAGCGGUCAGGAAUGUUUGGCUGGUUAAAGGAAAUAUUAACAUUUCUGGUGCUACGUGGACGUUGGCUUUAUGGUCUCUACUCAACCAAAUACCAACCUCACAGCUUUCAAAGAGCAGCAAGUAGACAAGAUGAAGAUUGAUUAUGAUUGCAAGUCCAAAUUAUUGCUGGAUGGAGGCCGGAUUCCCCUCUGCUGGCUCCACUGGGCUCCGCUGAUCAUCCACGACGCCGACCCGUCAACCUGCCUGCUGGUUGUGCUAUUCUGUCACGCUCUGCUUUGGACUGGAAGGAGUGCAGAAAUAAAAAAUGAGGACACUGCCAUCCUCAGUACCCCAAGCUGCGAGAAAACGAUUGAUACAUUAAUAGCAAAGCUAUACUCUGAAAUGGAGGAACAAAUAUAUUAAUACCAAAGGUAUACUCUUAGAUGCAGGAACUGAUAUACUAAUACCUAAGAUAUACUCUGAAAUAUAUACUGUAUUAAUGCUUCAUCAAAAAUAUUAUUAAAUCAGUGCUCUUCUCUUGUCUGUGGCACUGAUAAAUCACUGUCUUUGAAGAGCGGCAAAGAGCAGUAGCACUGUUUUAUAAACUAACAACAGCCAUUUACCAAAACACUGGCUCACCCCUCUGUCUGUGAAAAUCUGAAUUCAUGAACGUUGAAUUCAAUCCCGUAGAUAAGUGGCAGGCAGUUAUGGCCGUUGGCUUGGGGCGCGCUUUUUGCUACCAUGUAUUUGUAAUAACAUUUCCUAUUGUUUUGGAAUCCCCACA